UACGUAGGGUGCGAGCGUUGUCCGGAAUUACUGGGCGUAAAGAGCUCGUAGGUGGUUUGUCGCGUUGUUCGUGAAAUCUCACGGCUUAACUGUGAGCGUGCGGGCGAUACGGGCAGACUAGAGUACUGCAGGGGAGACUGGAAUUCCUGGUGUAGCGGUGAAAUGCGCAGAUAUCGGGAGGAACACCAGUGGCGAAGGCGGUUGCCUGGGGCUUUGCUGACGCUGAUGCGCGAAAGCGUGGGGAGCGAUCCGG
rnacentral:rRNA from 1 species